UAUCUGGGCCUCAGUUUCCUUAUCUUUAAAGAGAGGUUGGAUUAAAUGAUAGCAAAAGUUGCUGUAACAGUGUAACCAGCUGACUCUCGGGAUGUGUGUGUGUGUGUGUGUGUGUGUGUGUGUGUGUGUGUGUGUGUGUGUGUGUGCUUCCGGCAGCUGUCUUUGCUCAGACCCCCCGGAGCCCCCGCCCCCUUUCCCAGGCUCACUGUGCAGGAGAAGCACCGGGCCUCCAGUUACCCAGUGUUCGCCCUCCCACUCUCCCACUCUGUUGCCCUUGUCCGUGCAAGCCCGCCGAGUCCUGGAGGCAGCUGUCCUGACAAGCUGGGAGGCGGCCGCGAAUGCCCCUGACUUUAAGACUGGCUGAGGCUUCAACCCAUCCUUUCGGGAGGGGGAGGUGAGGGUGGAAAGGGUGUGUGUGUUUGUGGGGGGGUGGGUAGGGAGGGACGGAGAGAGGGGGGUGGGGAGAGAGGGAAGAAAAGGAAUAUUUGCAGAGCGGCGAAGAAAUGAACAACUUCUUCUGAAGGUUUCAUAUGACGACUUCAGCGCCCUCCUGGGUUGAUUCUGGACUAAGAGAGUCGGCACAUAUCCGUCUUCUCCGGACUGGCUCUAAUCACAUCUGGAUCCCAAGGGCAUUGGUACGCAGCGGAGCCCCCGGGAGCUCCGCAGCCUCCUGCGAGGGGCAAAUUCCUUCAGUCCGGGGCAUUUCCCCUCUUCCUCUGACUUUGUGCCCAUCGGCUGAUUUGGGUUCAUGGAGCUCGGGUUGUGGUUCCUCUUUGGACUUACAGUGACCACCGCAGGAUUCUUGCCUCCGACAGUGCCUCGCCUGGAGCCAGCGGCAGCCAGAGGGGGCUGGGGCCCUAGGGUUCCCGAAGCCCGGGAAAGCGAUGGAGAAGAGAAAGAAGCAGUAGCCGUCGUGAUGGUCACGGAGCUGAGCCCGACUAGGGCCGGGCAGGACAAGGGCUCGGCUGGCCCAGGGAGCCCCGGAAAGCAUCAGGAGAAAGCGCUGCGCGCAAGAGAGAAAAGCGCUGCACUUGCUACACUUACAAGGACAAAGAGUGCGUGUACUAUUGUCACCUGGACAUCAUCUGGAUCAAUACGCCAGAACAGACUGUACCAUAUGGGCUCUCCAAUUACAGAGGCAGCUUCCGGGGCAAGAGAUCUGCAGAUCCUAUCUGCAGGACUUUGCCACCAUUUGAAGGGCCACGGAACCGAUGUUCUUGCACGGAACAAGAUGAUGAUGCCUGCAUUCGUUUUUGCACCGGAACUGAGGACAACAGAAGCAAUUCAAGGACAGCAGGAAAACAUCAAGACAUGGACAUGGAACAGCCUCCUGAAAAGUGGCCCUGACAGCACAGAUGCAUGAACAGAGGUGAGUUGAAUUACUAGGCAUAUCAUUUAUUACAUAGCUACUAGGAACAUUUGAAUGGGGGUCCUUGAGCUUCUCUCUAGUCAAUGGAUAUAGUCUGAUCCCAGACAGAGUUACAAACCUAAGAAAGAUCAGAAGUGACUUCUUUUUGCCAGUUGGAUUCUUGGAAUCGAUAUAAAUAAUUUUGAUUUUCUUUGUCAUAAGAUCAUAUAUUUAUAAGUGAAAGCUUCUUUAGAGAUUAUGGCUUCAUUUGAUAUUGGAAGAAAAUGAGACUCAAGGAAAUAAAAUGAAUGGUUGAAGGUCA
ensembl:lncRNA